AGUGAACGCUGGCGGUAGGCCUAACACAUGCAAGUCGAACGGCAGCACAGUAAGAGCUUGCUCUUACGGGUGGCGAGUGGCGGACGGGUGAGGAAUACAUCGGAAUCUACCUUUUCGUAGGGGAUAACGUAGGGAAACUUACGCUAAUACCGCAUACGACCUACGGGUGAAAGCAGGGGAUCUUCGGACCUUGCGCGAUUGAAUGAGCCGAUGUCGGAUUAGCUAGUUGGCGGGGUAAAGGCCCACCAAGGCGACGAUCCGUAGCUGGUCUGAGAGGAUGAUCAGCCACACUGGAACUGAGACACGGUCCAGACUCCUACGGGAGGCAGCAGUGGGGAAUAUUGGACAAUGGGCGCAAGCCUGAUCCAGCCAUACCGCGUGGGUGAAGAAGGCCUUCGGGUUGUAAAGCCCUUUUGUUGGGAAAGAAAAGCAGCAGGUUAAUACCCCGCUGUCCUGACGGUACCCAAAGAAUAAGCACCGGCUAACUUCGUG
rnacentral:rRNA from 1 species